AGGGCUGUAGCUCAAUUGGCAGAGCACCGGUCUCCAAAACCGGGGGCUGAGAGUUCGACUCUCUCCGGCCCUG
rnacentral:tRNA from 2 species